rnacentral:rRNA from 1 species
GAUGAACGCUAGCGGCAGGCUUAAUACAUGCAAGUCGAGGGGCAGCAGUUUUGUAGCAAUACAGAAGCUGGCGACCGGCAAACGGGUGCGGAACACGUACGCAACCUUCCUCUAACUGGAAGAUAGCCCACCGAAAGGUGGAUUAAUAUUCCAUAGUAUAUUGAAAAGGCAUCUUUUUGAUAUUAAAGCUCCGGCGGUUAGAGAUGGGCGUGCGUCUGAUUAGGUAGUUGGCGGGGUAACGGCCCACCAAGCUUACGAUCAGUAGCUGAUGUGAGAGCAUGAUCAGCCACACGGGCACUGAGACACGAGACCGACGCCUACGGGAGGCAGCAGUAAGGAAUAUUGGUCAAUGGACGCAAGUCUGAACCAGCCAUGCCGCGUGGAGGAUGAAGGCCCUCUGGGUUGUAAACUUCUUUUCUUUGGGACGAAACCCCUGUUUCUACGGGGACUGACGGUACCAGAGGAAUAAGCACCGGCUAACUCCGUGCCAGCCGCCGCCGUAAGAC